CAGUGCCGUAUAGUGGAAAGCAAAAUGCUACGACGCUUGUGCGUACCGCUGCGUGUGGUGGCUGCAGGGUUGCGCCUUAACUCCUCCAGCUCUGGGCCGUCGAAGACGAAUGAUGGGGGCAUUCCCAACGCGACGGGCAUGGACAACGCGCCUGGGCUUUAUGCUGAGAAGCCUUCCAGUACCUACUGUGAGGAAAAGUACCCCAACAAGAUGGAAGAAGUGGGUUCUCUCAAGCCACCAACGUACGACGUGCCUCAUGGCCGAUCUGACAACAUCAAGACACCUGAGUUCAAUACAUCUUUAGGAAAGUUUGAUCAGGCUCCCUACUUCACCGGCGGCCCGCCGGCGAUGCGAUACCACGGCUACAAGCGGGACCCUGCUGGCGAGGGUGUAGACUACCGCGAUGUCCUGCCAAAAACGCCGAUUGAAGACCAUCACCCCCACAUGGAGUUCCUUUCAGUCACCGGACGCCGCGAAGGAAGCACGUUUCUACUGGCGAACGCUGGUGUGAACUGGGAGCUGAAGGCCGCUGCGAUGUCUCUCUACCGCACAAUCCUCAAGUCUUUGCCAAUGAUUAAGCACUACUACUGGCUGCUCGUUCCCCUUCCGGAGAUGAAGGACAAGAUUCGCCUCCGCUUUUUGCAGAACCAGCACACUAAAGACCCAGACGCGAUUCGACACUUGCUUCAUAACGGCUGGAUGGAGUUUCAGGAGUCUAUCAUGUUCCGUCGCCCCCGCGCGACCAUCGAAAAGUACUUUGAGCACGAGAGCAUGGAUGAACUGAGCAAGCAGUACACCAAGGAGGAAGGCCUGAUGAGUAGUGAACGCGAGUUCUGGAACGGCGAGGAGCAGCGCCGCGAAGGCCCGCACAACGGUCAUUGGUCGUGGCUUGGUGAGCAGUGCGAGAAAGAGUUUACCAAGAUUGCGGGCCGCAUCCCGAUUUCCUGGACAGCCUCGAGGGGCUACUUUGAGAAGGGGCAAGCCGACGGCACGAACUACUGGGAGAAGAAUCUUGACUACGAAGGCUGGUACAUCAAGAACGUCGACCCUGACCGCCAGAAUGCGCGGCGCGAGAUGCAGGGGUGGGUUGAGAGCGGCUACAACCAGCCGAAGCACUACGCCAGCAAGAACCGUCGCGGUUACCGCCGCAUGGUGAAGGAUAUUGAGACGCUCAUGGAGACCUCCAUGGAGGAUCUGUAUACACACAACCGCGAGCAGCUAUUUCAAUACCUGAUCCGCGAGAGCAGCCCCGAAUCCAAUCGCAUCAACGCGGAGCGCACGCUGGCGUACCAGGACGACGACUUCUACUCUACUCGCUUUGAGGAGUACGAGAAGUGCCUGAAGCAGGCCAUGCGCGAGAUGCCGAACCCGCGCCUAUGGAAGACCGACGCCUUCUACUUCCGUCUGCGUUACCUGCUGGCCCCUUUGGAAUACAACUGGGCCAAGCUACCCGUCGGUGCGACUCAAGAGAAGCUCUUCAACGAGUGGAUCUCGGACAACUGCAACUACGCCAUCUACACGAGUGACGUCUUCACUCAGAUCAAGGCGGACAAGACGCGUAACCCCAUGGCCAAGACUUGGGCUGACUUCUACACGGAGUUCGAUCCCGACGUGCCGGAGACGCGCAAUCUCCCGUGGUAUCAUAGGGACUUCGAUUACGACCGUCGCCACAAGUGGGACGAGCGGUGCAUGCGGAUGAAGCGCUGGGUUCAGAGCGGCACCAUUGACGGCAAACACGCAUACUUUGACAGCAUCGUUGCCGAGUGGGAGCAGUAUGUGAACCGCCCAGAGCGCUUCCGUGCGCCAGACAGCGCCGAGCGCCGCUACGCAGCACCGCGAAUGGUACAGCUGUACCGUGCACUGAACCGCGUGAUGGAUGUGGCGCUUGCAGACCAGAUGAGGCAGACGAUCGAGAAGGGUCGCGACCUCAGCAAGAUGUCUGUCGAGGACGUGCAAAGGCGGCUCGCCGCGGCGGACUUCACCAACUUCCGGUUUGAGGUGCCCGUCAUUAUUUACCCUGACGGCGCCGCCCAGCCGCAGCUUGGUCUGAACGGCUGUUCUGUCGCCACCGCCGCCGCCUCCGCGACAGCGGCUGCGUAGAGGGCAGGUGAAAUCCACGUUGCUAAACCUGCUUGAAGAACGCUCCUUGUUUUCAUCGUUUUUUUUUCCACUGUUAUUGCGUUUUUUUUUUAGCGCUGCUUUAUAUUUUGUUGGAGGUCGUGCGUCUCCUCCUGGUGCGUUUGUGUCUUGGCAAUGAUUUGAUGCCCCGCCUUUGGGCAGGCGUCUUGUGUAUGCCUCUUUUUGUUUUCUUUCCCCCUUGUGCUUUUCAUGCCUCAGACUCUGUGCCUUAGGGUUGUGUUUCUGCUUAGUAGCAGCUUGCCGCGCGUACUGGGAUGUUUGCGUGUGACAGCUCACCCGCAAAGGGAGUACGCUGCUGAUGUGAAAGGGGGGAGGCAAGGCGGGAAGAGGGACGUGCAUGCUGACGCUGGGGGCGCUAGAGCACAUUAUCAGUAGGAGCUGCUCGAGCUGAUCUAGUGGGUGAAGAGUAUCUUAGGACCCGCAGAGGCAACAAAGCAAAGCCUGCACUUCUAGUCCUCGUUUCUCUCAUAUGCCGCUCACGGUCACUCGCAGCCGCUGAGGAGCGCGCACCACCGGCUCUUUGCCUCUCCCCUUCCCACUCUUGCAUAGGCUUGCGUAGAGAGACGAGGAUACCGUUCUUCCUCUUCGUGCGCUCCAUCGGUGCGGCACACCUAUGCCUCUUUUUGUUUUAGAUUCCGUCCUUCUCUCUUCUCCUCUCCAAUUUGGAGCAUCUCGCUCGCACGAGUUUCUUCUCACCGAUGGACCCCAUGCACGCGGCUGGGAGACAAGGCUGGGUUCUGUAUCCGUUAGGGAUGGCGAGGGAUGGGGAAGGUGAGAGAUACUGGAGGGUUGCUCCAUCUAGCGUAGAGGAGAGGGUGGAUUUUCCUGCAUUCAGGGAAGGUAGCCAGUAGCAAUAGUAGUUGCGAGACACGCCUGGUGGCGCCGAAGAUGGGCAUCGAGAACGAAACACAACGAGUGUUCAAAAAAAAAAGGCUCCGUAAUGUCGAGUGUAGCUGUCAUUCCUCUCUCGUGGUUCUACUUCGGGGACAUGUAGACACAGCAUGGAAGCCACGCGCUACAGCGAAGGCUGUUGACGCGUGUUUCGGGUCAAGGAGAACGCAGGGCAGUGCAUUUGCUUGGAAUGAAAAUGACGCUUCA
rnacentral:misc_RNA from 1 species